rnacentral:rRNA from 1 species
GAUGAACGCUGGCGGCGUGCUUAACACAUGCAAGUCGAACGGUGAAGGCGGAGCUUGCUCUGCUGGAUCAGUGGCGAACGGGUGAGUAACACGUGAGCAAUCUGCCCCUGACUCUGGGAUAAGCGCUGGAAACGGCGUCUAAUACUGGAUACGAGCUGCGAAGGCAUCUUCCGCAGCUGGAAAGAAUUUCGGUCAGGGAUGAGCUCGCGGCCUAUCAGCUUGUUGGUGAGGUAAUGGCUCACCAAGGCGUCGACGGGUAGCCGGCCUGAGAGGGUGACCGGCCACACUGGGACUGAGACACGGCCCAGACUCCUACGGGAGGCAGCAGUGGGGAAUAUUGCACAAUGGGCGAAAGCCUGAUGCAGCAACGCCGCGUGAGGGACGACGGCCUUCGGGUUGUAAACCUCUUUUAGCAGGGAAGAAGCGAAAGUGACGGUACCUGCAGAAAAAGCGCCGGCUAACUACGUG